rnacentral:misc_RNA from 1 species
AACAGUCUCCUUCCACAAAACCAUGGCGUCGCUCAAAUGUAGCACCGUCGUCUGCGUGAUCUGCUUGGAGAAGCCCAAAUACCGCUGUCCAGCCUGCCGCGUGCCCUAAACAGUGCAACCCUGAAACUCGUCCUGUUGAGAAAAAAAUAAGAUCAGCUCUUCCUACCAAAACCGUAAAGCCUGUGGAAAACAAAGAUGAUGAUGACUCUAUAGCUGAUUUUCUCAAUAGUGAUGAGGAAGAAGACAGAGUUUCUUUGCAGAAUUUAAAGAAUUUAGAUGGACUCUCGUCCUGUCACCCAGGCUGGAGUGCAGCGGCGCAAUCUCGGCUCACUGCAACCUCUCCCUCCCAGAUUCAAGCAAUUCUCAUGCCUCAGCCUCCCGAGCAGCUGGGACUACAGGCGCCUGCCACUACGCCCAACCAAUUUUUGUAUUUUUAGUAGAGAUGGGGUUUCGCCAUGUUGGCCAGGCUGGUCUUGAACUCCUGACCUCAGGUGAUACACCCGCCUCGACUUCCCAAAGUACUGGGAUUAUAGGCGUGAGCCACCGCUCCAGGCCCUAAGCUAAACUUUCAUCACCUCCUGCUCCUGACUCAUCUAAAGCCUUGGUUCUCACAGUGUGGUUCAUGGAGCAUCAGAAUCAGCUGGGAGCUUGCUAGAAACGCAGCAUUGCAUUUGGAAAUGGGACUAGAAGAUUUAGAGAUGCUGAAAUAAUUAGAAGCAGUUUUUAAAAAGAUAAAGGGCUCUGGAAGAUUCCCAGUUAUAACAAAAUAAAUAAUCCAAACCUGCAGCUGAUUGGGACAUGCAGCCCUCUGGUUUACCCAGUAGGGUUAGGGAUGGAUCUUGUCCCAGCCUCAGUCUCAUUCCCGCUGUGAACUUGUAGGCUUUGCUCCUGCUGUUCUCAGGAACAAAGCUGUCAUGGCCAUCACACACAACGUACCUGAGGCAGCGCUCGGAUGGACGUGACACCAGCCUGGUCUUGUGCUGUCUGGACAGUGUAGCUACUGGGGCUGCCCCUGGGGAGCUGGAGGCAAGCCCAGACCACUAAUUUCCUCUGAAAGCUGCCUACACCCAUAGCCGUAUUGGCCAGGACCAGUCCCAGGGGCCAGAGGCGGAUUAUUGCCUCCAGGAGCCUGGUCUGCAGCGGCGAGGUGCUCAGGGAACAGGGAGCUUGAGAGAAGUGUUUUUCUUCCACACCAUCCAGCUCUUUAGCAGCAAGGCAGGCCAUUCUGAUCUUAAAAAGCAAAUAUCCCUUUAUAGCUUUAGAUUUAUCUAGCCCUCUUAGCAGAAAAUGGAAAUCAAAACUAUCUUUAACAAAUCAUCUUAACAAGGUGAACUGAAGGCACCUGGUUGCAAACAGCUGGCUGCCCUGAACCAAACUGGUUCCAUAUGCCACAAGUCUAUACACCCCAGGCAACUGUGCUUAGGCCUUACAUAUGCUACUUGAAAACAAGAUAAGAGUCCAUCAAGAUAUAACUGAUAUGCCAUAAAACCCAGUCUUCUAAAGUGUACAUCCCAGAGUUUGGUAUAUUCCCAGAGUUGCUUAUACCACUCUUCACCUACAUAACCACCCUGCAGGGUAGGUGUUACUGUGCCCACUGCAUACAUGAGGAAUAUGAGGCUCAGAGAGGCUAAACAACCUGCCCAAGGCCACCUGCAUUGCAGUGGCAGAGCCAGCAUUCCCACUCGGGUCCAUCUGGUCCCCAAAAUUGAUCCACUGCCCACCCCGACUUCUUGGGUCUUACUUACUCUCCACUUCUGCCAUGCACGCUUGAUGACUGUGGCAGCUGCAUGCAGCCUCUGGAUGUGUUUCCGAGUUAACCAGGAACGAAUGGCUAAGAGGUUUGCCCAGAAACAGGAAAGAGAUAAUAAAGGGGCCAUUAGAGCUGUCAGUGACCUCGCUGCAGCAGCACCACAGUUGCUGUCAAAGUUUCAAAUACGUUUUUUUUUUUUCAAUAAAUUGCUACAAAUAAGGUUCUAAAAUC